rnacentral:rRNA from 1 species
ACACCUGGACUCAUCCCGAACCCAGCAGUUAAGCCCUCUUACGUAUUGUGUGGUACUGAGGUACGCGAGUCCUCGGGAAGCACGAUUCGCUGCUAGUA